rnacentral:rRNA from 1 species
CCUACGGGAGGCUGCAGUGGGGAAUUUUGGACAAUGGGGGAAACCCUGAUCCAGCCAUCCCGCGUGAGUGAAGAAGGCCUUCGGGUUGUAAAGCUCUUUCGAAAGUGAAGAAAACUUAUUUCGUAAUAUGUUAUAAGUAUGACGGUAACUUUAGAAGAAGCACCGGCUAACUACGUGCCAGCAGCCGCGGUAAUACGUAGGGUGCGAGCGUUAAUCGGAAUUACUGGGCGUAAAGCGUGCGCAGGCGGUUUUGUAAGUCAGAUGUGAAAUCCCCGAGCUUAACUUGGGAACUGCGUUUGAAACUACAAGACUAGAGUGUGUCAGAGGGGGGUAGAAUUCCACGUGUAGCAGUGAAAUGCGUAGAGAUGUGGAGGAAUACCAAUGGCGAAGGCAGCCCCCUGGGAUAACACUGACGCUCAUGCACGAAAGCGUGGGGAGCG